rnacentral:rRNA from 1 species
GCAGUCGAGCGAGCUGAAUUCAAAGAUCCCUUCGGGAUGAUUUGUUGGACGCUAGCGGCGGAUGGGUGAGUAACACGUGGGCAAUCUGCCCUAAAGACUGGGAUACCACUUGGAAACAGGUGCUAAUACCGGAUAACAACAUGAAUCGCAUGAUUCAAGUUUGAAAGGCGGCGCAAGCUGUCACUUUAGGAUGAGCCCGCGGCGCAUUAGCUAGUUGGUGGGGUAAAGGCCUACCAAGGCAAUGAUGCGUAGCCGAGUUGAGAGACUGAUCGGCCACAUUGGGACUGAGACACGGCCCAAACUCCUACGGGAGGCAGCAGUAGGGAAUCUUCCACAAUGGACGCAAGUCUGAUGGAGCAACGCCGCGUGAGUGAAGAAGGUCUUCGGAUCGUAAAGCUCUGUUGUUGGUGAAGAAGGAUAGAGGCAGUAACUGGUCUUUAUUUGACGGUAAUCAACCAGAAAGUCACGGCUAACUACGUGCCAGCAGCCGCGGUAAUACGUAGGUGGCAAGCGUUGUCCGGAUUUAUUGGGCGUAAAGCGAGCGCAGGCGGAAUGAUAAGUCUGAUGUGAAAGCCCACGGCUCAACCGUGGAACUGCAUCGGAAACUGUCAUUCUUGAGUGCAGAAGAGGAGAGUGGAACUCCAUGUGUAGCGGUGGAAUGCGU